CUAAAGGGAAAGAGAGCUGAGGCUGGAAAUGUCUGAUGUGGAAGACCAAGUGCAAUGUAAGACCCUCUAUCUCCUGAGAGCAUCUGUCCUUCUCCCAUGAAGAAAAGGUACAUGAGGCAUUCAUAGAGAAAAGAGAAUGACAACAUGCAAGGAGGAGGCUGGCACUCUGACUGCUCAUAAAGAUGGCCAUGCAGUAAAAGUACCUGAUCAGAAUCAAAUGCAGCAUUGGUUUAUGAUGGCAUUCCUCCAGGCAGCAUCGGGCUACUUGCAAUCACUAUUUUCCAGGAUUCCUAAAGGUACCCAGUAAUGGCUAAACAAUUGCUGUCAUGGCCUCCUUGCACCUGUGUGCUAAUCAGAUCAAAUAACUUCCAGAGAGAGUGGGAUUUGGAACAGAAGUGAGCUG
ensembl:lncRNA